CAGCACGAGCCAGCUUGAAGGAAUCACUCUGCGAUCC
rnacentral:ribozyme from 1 species